ensembl:lncRNA
CAAAUAAAUGAACCAAUAUUAACCUGUAGCUGACCUGGUCAGUCUCGUGGAAAGAGCUGGUGUUCUUAAUGUUUUGUACACUGUAUGUAAGGUAAUAUUGAUUUUGUACACGAUCUUACCUAGUUAUUACCAUAGGUGUGUACAUACGAUGUGCCAUAUCUGCAGGUGAACUGUAUAAAGGUCCCCCUUCACCCUCUGGUGGCAUGGAUAACUUAAUGUCUCUAGAGAAACCUGGGUUUAGAUUUUUACAAGAACGACUACCUUUUAGAGAAUACGCACCAAUACAGCUGUGGGUGUAGAUUGAGUAUCAGAGUUCUGAGUUGCAGUAUUUAUACCAGGGGCUGAUUUUUAUAUGCACAAAAAAUAAGUUAUUUUAGCUGGGGUCAAAAUGACCUCAAAGUAUUUUUUUUUUUUUUUUUUAAAGGUCCAUAUUGAUAAUUUAUAUUGCGAACAAGUUGAUUGACAAAGUAAUGAAACAUUUAAUAAACCAGCAUUAAGCAGACUGUAGGUUACGAUUCAUGCCUUAAAAUAAUUUCUUCAUACCUUUUCUUGACUAACAUUCAAACCCAAAUGCUUGUAACGCAUACUGUAGAGUUCUUCAUAGUAUGUUGAGUUGGCUUAGAGACAAGUACAAGGAAUAACAAAGGUAAGCAAGCCCUGCGCGAUCCGGAACAGUUCAUAUUUCUGUAGCACGAGGCAGCUUGAUGCAGAAAUACACCUCCUCGACAGGACGUUAGUCUAUUGCAGGGCCUUCCAAUCUAUAUUCUUAAUGGUGAGUUCCAAGCAGAGAAGCAUCCGGUCCCAUUUAUACAGUCUUUGGUAUGACUCGGCGAGGGAUUAAACUCACAACCUUCCAAUCUCAGGGCGGACACUAACCAGGCCACUGAGUUGGUGCCAAUAACGGAGAAAAAAAACGCCAUUAUUCAAUUAGCUGAUGGAUCCUCUGGAGCCAAGUAGCAUUGAAUCAAAAGCAAAAUCUCUAAAUUGAUGGGAGAUUGCAGUGUAAAUUUGAAUUAAUAGCGUUCAUCCACGC